rnacentral:rRNA from 1 species
GACGAAGGGGGCUAGCGUUGUUCGGAAUUACUGGGCGUAAAGCGCGUGUAGGCGGUUAUCCAAGUCGGGUGUGAAAGCCUUGAGCUCAACUCAAGAAAUGCACUCGGUACUGGGUGACUAGAGGACCGGAGAGGAUAGUGGAAUUCCCAGUGUAGUGGUGAAAUACGUAGAGAUUGGGAAGAACACCAGUGGCGAAGGCGACUUCCUGGCCUGUUCUUGACGCUGAGGCGCGAAAGCUAGGGGAGCAAACGGG